rnacentral:tRNA from 1 species
GGGUCCAUAUCUCUGUGGUAGAGCAAUUGACUGCAGAUCAAUAGGUCACCGGUUCGAACCCGGUUGGGCCCU